rnacentral:rRNA from 1 species
AACGAACGCUGGCGGCAUGCCUAACACAUGCAAGUCGAACGAGACCUUCGGGUCUAGUGGCGCACGGGUGCGUAACGCGUGGGAAUCUGCCCUUGGGUUCGGAACAACAGUUGGAAACGACUGCUAAUACCGGAUGAUGACUUCGGUCCAAAGAUUUAUCGCCCAAGGAUGAGCCCGCGUAGGAUUAGCUUGUUGGUGAGGUAAAAGCUCACCAAGGCGACGAUCCUUAGCUGGUCUGAGAGGAUGAUCAGCCACACUGGGACUGAGACACGGCCCAGACUCCUACGGGAGGCAGCAGUGGGGAAUAUUGGACAAUGGGCGAAAGCCUGAUCCAGCAAUGCCGCGUGAGUGAUGAGGGCCUUAGGGUUGUAAAGCUCUUUUACCCGGGAUGAUAAUGACAGUACCGGGAGAAUAAGCCCCGGCUAACUCCGUGCCAGCCGCCGCAGUAA